CCUACGGGAGACUGCAGUGAGGAAUAUUGGUCAAUGGCCGGAAGGCUGAACCAGCCAAGCCGCGUGAGGGAGGAAGGCGCAGAGCGUCGCAGACCUCUUUUGCCAGGGGACAAAAGGCCGGACUCGUCCGGUCCUGAGGGUACCCGGAGAAAAAGCAUCGGCUAACUCCGUGCCAGCAGCCGCGGUAAUACGGAGGAUGCGAGCGUUAUCCGGAUUCAUUGGGUUUAAGGGGUGCGCAGGGGGGCCUUUAAGCCGGCGGUGAAAUCGCGGGGCUCAACCUAGCCGAGCAGUCGGAACUGGGGGCCUUGAGUGCGGUGGAGGUAGGCGGAAUGCGCGGUGUAGCGGUGAAAUGCAUAGAUAUCGCGAAGAACCCCGAUUGCGAAGGCAGCCUGCCGUGCCGCCACUGACGCUGAGGCACGAAAGCGUGGGGAUCGAACAGGAUUAGAUACCCGAGUAGUC
rnacentral:rRNA from 1 species